rnacentral:rRNA from 1 species
GUGGGGAAUCUUCCGCAAUGGACGAAAGUCUGACGGAGCGACGCCGCGUGAGUGAAGAAGUAUUUCGGUAUGUAAAGCUCUAUCAGCAGGGAAGAUAAUGACAGUACCUGACUAAGAAGCCCCGGCUAACUACGUGCCAGCAGCCGCGGUAAUACGUAGGUGACGCGCGUUGUCCGGAAUUACUGGGCGUAAAGGGCGCGCAUGCUGUGCUGCAAGUCAGGUGUGAAAUGUCUGGGCUUAACCCGGGCAUGCGGUUGAGACUGCAGUGGUGGAGUGCUGGAGAGGCAAGUGGAAUUCCCAGGGGAGCGGUGAAAUGCGGAGAUAUUGGGAAGAACACCGGUGGCGAAGGCGACUUGCUGGGCAGCAACUGACGCUGAGGGGCGAAAGCCAGGGGAGCAAACGGGAUUAGGUACCCUUGUAGUCC